rnacentral:rRNA from 1 species
GACGAACGCUGGCGGCGUGCUUAACACAUGCAAGUCGAACGGAAAGGCCCUGCUUUUGUGGGGUGCUCGAGUGGCGAACGGGUGAGUAACACGUGAGUAACCUGCCCUUGACUUUGGGAUAACUUCAGGAAACUGGGGCUAAUACCGGAUAGGAGCUCCUGCUGCAUGGUGGGGGUUGGAAAGUUUCGGCGGUUGGGGAUGGACUCGCGGCUUAUCAGCUUGUUGGUGGGGUAGUGGCUUACCAAGGCUUUGACGGGUAGCCGGCCUGAGAGGGUGACCGGAGGAAUUGGGAAUGAGCUACAGCGGGGCAGACGCCGGAAGCAACAAGGGGGGGAGGGGGACGAAGGGGCGGGGGCCUGAUGCAGCAGCGGCGUGUGAGGGAGGGGGGCUUACGGUGUGGAGACAGGUAGAGCCUGUGAAGUAGCGUGCGGGAGCGGAAUGAGUAGAGAAGAAAAGCAUAACUCAAAC